rnacentral:rRNA from 1 species
GGCAUGCUUUACACAUGCAAGUCGGACGGCAGCACAGAGAAGCUUGCUUCUUGGGUGGCGAGUGGCGAACGGGUGAGUAAUAUAUUGGAACGUACCGAGUAAUGGGGGAUAACUUGCCGAAAGGUAAGCUAAUACCGCAUACGCUCUGAGGAGGAAAGCAGGGGACCUUCGGGCCUUGCGUUAUUCGAGCGGCCAAUAUCUGAUUAGCUAGUUGGUGGGGUAAAGGCCUACCAAGGCGACGAUCAGUAGCGGGUCUGAGAGGAUGAUCCGCCACACUGGGACUGAGACACGGCCCAGACUCCUACGGGAGGCAGCAGUGGGGAAUUUUGGACAAUGGGCGCAAGCCUGAUCCAGCCAUGCCGCGUGUCUGAAGAAGGCCUUCGGGUUGUAAAGGACUUUUGUCAGGGAAGAAAAGGUUGUGGCUAAUAUCCAUGACUGAU